UCUUGGUUUCCCAUAACUGUCAAAACACUAAGAACCAAGUAGAAACUUUCUGGGGAGAAGUUCUUCGGCUGGGGGUGGGGCCCAAACUGAGAAGGACCACAGCAUCACUUCAGCAGCAAUGGACAGUCGGGGCCACAAGGGCCCCCGAAGGACAGGAGUGACCAGACAGAAAGGAGGAUGGUCUCGCUUCUUGCCCAAGAUUGGCGGGCGGUAGAGAGGGGGUGGAAGGUGGUCGGGGAGUAAAAAACACAAAAUAUGAAUCUUCAAAGGGUUUGCAAAUAUGGUGUAUUUCUUCUUGCAGGACUCAAACCACUCUCUCUAGAUGCACAGCACAGGCCCUUUUAGCUGCAACCAAGAGCCUCUCUAGGGAGCUGGACUACAGACUCCACAAGGGCCAGGCCUGCUUAUCUUAUUUCUUCAUCCUAAAUUUAUUCAUUUGACCAACUCUGGCACUCCAGACUGCAUGCCCUGAGGUCCAAAGGCCAGCAAUUCUGGGCUGUGGCCCUCCGGUAGCCCUUCAUCUGCUGGGGAGGCUGGCGAGUAAACAAGUCAAUGGAACAUUAUGCCACAAUGACACAGCGCAGUGAGUGCCAUCCUGUGGAAUGAAGCCCAGAAAAAAAUAGUCAAGAUGUCUUCCAAGAUUGAAGCAAUGAUAUCUGAGAGAUUGACAGAAAACAUCACUCUAGAAGCAAAACAGGGAACAGGUGGCUGGAGGCAGAGAAACCAGUUACAAGGCUGUUCAGACACCAGACUGGUAUCUACAUGGGGAGGCACCUGGCGGGUGGCCAGAUCCCCAGAUGGAAUCUCCACCUUGUGGCUUAUGAGGCAUUCUGGGCCACUGCCUCUUGAAGACACUGCUUAGGGUGGUAAGAACUCAUUUUGCAUUUGGGGAGCUGUAGGUGGGGAUGGUGAUAAGUAGCUCAGCAUUUUGUUCACAAAGAGGUAUUAUUCCAACUUGCACAACCCAAAUAGCAUCUCCGCACGGAAAUGAAGCUGCAACAGCUCCCUGUCAUGGAGGGGGCACUUCCUAGUUCUCAGACCUCAUCACUAGAGCCCCCAAGCUGUGAUGUUGUUGCUGAACUCCCUCAGGGCACUGAGCAUCAGCCUGAGUACCUCUCCUGACUGGACCAGGGGUCACUUGCUCCACUACAGUUCUCUCCAGCCCCGUGACACUCUCACUGUAAAUACAAAUUCUCACCCAGUGAAUGCCAAGACGAAUCCAACCCUACCUAGUGGGGGAGAGGAGAUUAGGAAAUGGGCGAUGAGAGGUACACGGCUUCUGGGAAGGGAGCCCUGCUGCUGGGGGCCUGAGAGGCACCCAGUGGAGAGGAGCCUGGACAACCUUGGCAACCAGCCCCCUGACCGCGUUCCACAGCAUUUCGGGGGUCCAGGCACCGUGUGUGACCCCUUUCUACUGUAACUAGGCCUGCUCCCUGCUCUUCCCCUCAAAGACACAGAUGACUGCUCCUCUCUGGCAGCCCAAAGCCUUCUCUGCCCCCACAACUGCCUGCGGGCCUUUGUCUGAGCCACUUCUCCCCAGUUCUGUUCCAAACCCACCAGAAAGUCCUUCCCUAAAAGUCCACUUACUCUUUGAGAUCAGUGUGAGGAAGCUACUCAAAGAACAAAACUAAGCACCCAGUGGUGAAUGCCCAAGCUCAAGUGUACAGAUUUUUUUCUGAUAGCAGAAGAGACCUGUUUACUUGUCUUCCAAGUUGAGUCCUGAGGUGGAAUAACUUCCUCCUCUGACUUCUGCCCUCAGGCUCCAGAGGCAAUGGCCCCGACAUUGCUUUCUGGCCCCUCACCAUGAAGCCUGUCAGGAACCCGUGUGCCUCACCCUCUAUCUGCCACUCACUAAACUCAGGAUCCUAAAAUCUGCCCUCUUACCCAUUUUCAUUCACAUGAAUUAAACUCCAACUACAAUGAAUUUGAAGGAUCCCAUCUGCCUCUCUAAACUCACCUUCCUCCACAUUUCAGCAGCCACCUUAUCCUCAAGGAUCUUGGAUGUGCAGUAAUUCCCAUCUCCCACCCAGCCCUCCUGACACUCGCCACAGGGGAACUUUCACCCGGCACAACACAGACAGUGUCGCCUAGCGAACACACCCCCACCCCACGCCCCAAAGUCCGAAGUUGAGAAUAAGCCGUUUGCUGGUGGACUCGGUUCCCGCAGGAGGGACAAGGAUGGCUGCCAUCUGCACAUCAGCUGCCUGGGACUUAACAUUUCACACGUCACGUUUCAAACAGAGGCAGCAGCUGCAGCUGAGAUGAAGCAUAUCCAAGUAUAUUUAGCCCUUACUAUAUUGGAAGAAAACAUUUCCCAGUUCCGAUGACCAUCAUUUUCUG